GACGAACGCUGGCGGCGUGCUUAACACAUGCAAGUCGAGCGGAAAGGCCUGCUUUCCCUUGUGGAUUGCGGGUACUCGAGUGGCGAACGGGUGAGUAACACGUGAGUGAUCUGCCCCCAACUUGGGUAUAAGCCUGGGAAACUGGGUCUAAUUCCCGAUAGGACUGCAGGGUGGUGCCUGUGGUGGAAAACGAUUUUCUAGUGGUUGGGGAUGAGCUCGCGGCCUAUCAGCUUGUUGGUGGGGUAAUGGCCUACCAAGGCGGCGACGGGUAGCCGGCCUGAGAGGGUGGACGGCCACAUUGGGACUGAGAUACGGCCCAGACUCCUACGGGAGGCAGCAGUGGGGAAUAUUGCACAAUGGGCGGAAGCCUGAGGCAGCGACGCCGCGUGGGGGAUGACGGCCUUCGGGUUGUAAACUCCUUUCGACCGCGAGGAAGCCACCUGGUUGGAAGGGUGGUGACGGUAGUGGUAGAAGAAGCACCGGCUAACUACGUG
rnacentral:rRNA from 1 species